AAUAGAUACCCUGGUAGUCCACGCCGUAAACGAUGAGUGCUAAGUGUUGGGGGGGUUUCCGCCCCUCAGUGCUGCAGCUAACGCAUUAAGCACUCCGCCUGGGGAGUACGGUCGCAAGACUGAAACUCAAAGGAAUUGACGGGGGCCCGCACAAGCGGUGGAGCAUGUGGUUUAAUUCGAAGCAACGCGAAGAACCUUACCAGGUCUUGACAUCCCGGUGACCACUAUGGGGACAUAGUUUCCCCUUCGGGGGCAACGGUGACAGGUGGUGCAUGGUUGUCGUCAGCUCGUGUCGUGAGAUGUUGGGUUAAGUCCCGCAACGAGCGCAACCCUUAUUCUUAGUUGCCAUCAUUCAGUUGGGCACUCUAAGGAGACUGCCGGUGAUAAACCGGAGGAAGGUGGGGAUGACGUCAAAUCAUCAUGCCCCUUAUGACCUGGGCUACACACGUGCUACAAUGGACGGUACAAACGGUUGCCAACCCGCGAGGGGGAGCUAAUCCGAUAAAACCGUUCUCAGUUCGGAUUGUAGGCUGCAACUCGCCUACA
rnacentral:rRNA from 1 species